rnacentral:rRNA from 1 species
AUUGAACGCUGGCGGCAUGCUUUACACAUGCAAGUCGAGCGGCAGCGCGGGGGGCAACCCUGGCGGCGAGCGGCGAACGGGUGAGUAAUGCAUCGGAACGUAUCCUGUAGUGGGGAAUAACUCACCGAAAGGUGAGCUAAUACCGCAUAAGCUCUGAGGAGGAAAGCGGGGGACCGAAAGGCCUCGCGCUGCAGGAGCGGCCGAUGUCCGAUUAGCUAGUUGGUGAGGUAAAGGCUCACCAAGGCGACGAUCGGUAGCUGGUCUGAGAGGAUGAUCAGCCACACUGGGACUGAGACACGGCCCAGACUCCUACGGGAGGCAGCAGUGGGGAAUUUUGGACAAUGGGGGAAACCCUGAUCCAGCCAUGCCGCGUGAGUGAAGAAGGCCUCGG